GUAGAACGGACGUUUUGGAACGAACUGCGCAGUUGGACUGACGUUGUGUGAUUUUCCUGGAUUCUUUGAAACGUUGCCCGCUGUUCACUGCUGAGCGUCGUCUGCUGCAUUAACUUGCACCACCGUGCAAAGGCAGAAACGCAAUGAGCAUCGACAAUAGCGCACGUCAUCAUCAUCAUCCGCUCGCCGCUGUGACCGUUCACAUUCCAUUGUGCAGUUUUAUGUUUCAAGGUAGCCAUUUGUCGUCGAUAUCUGCAACUACAAGCUGUCAACAAGGAGCAUGGCGGUCGCUGGUCACUCGAACAUUCCGGAGCGAUUCCUUCGACACAGCAUCAUUGAUGUUCACAAUUCCAAUGUCAUGUUCUCGAAAACCUCCUGAUACUGCGGCUAUGGCAACAGUAGCAAAGUGACUUUUUGGCAAACCUUCCAUCAAGAUCUGCACUCAUAGUUCCCGUCUCGCCUAUCCUUAUGUCUGAGCCGUUCCAAACAGUUCUACAGCUGUAGGGAUCUGAAAAGGACCAACGGCAACA